rnacentral:ncRNA from 1 species
GGGUCGCCCGAGAUAGGGACGUGCUCCGUAGAGCAGUGCGGCUGUUGCGGUGUCCGGUGCGCCCGCGUCGGCCCUUGAAAAUCUGAGUGAGGGAGUGCGAUUUUCGUGCCGGACCGUACCCACAUCCGCAGCAGGUCUCCAAGGUGAACAGCCUCUAGUCGAUGGACCAAUGUAGGUAAGGGAAGUCGGCAAAACGUAACCUUGGGAUAAGGAUUGGCUCCGAGGACUGAGCCGGUCGGGCUGGGGACCUGAAGCAGGAACGGCACUGCACCGGGACUGGGCGGGGCUCGCCGUUCACGCGGCGCGUCCAAGCCCGGACCAGCGUCGGGACCUUCCUGCGGAAAGCCACAGCUGCGCGGCGUCUGAGGGCUUCAUGCCCAAAGUGCUAUGCUUCGGUCGGCACAAAACAGUCAACUCAGAACUGGCACGGACCGGGGGAAUCCGACUGUCUAAUUAAAACAAAGCUUGUUAAAACAGAAGUUCGGGCGAGUUGGUAGUUCAUGACGCACGAGGACACAGCGCACCCGUAACAAAACACUAGGACAACGUUCACAGUCACACCAAAAGAAAGGGACACUUACACAGCGCUGACUUCAACUCUUUGUAUAUUCCCGCCUUUUCUCUUCUUUCAUGUCUAAUGCAUAACCUAGGCCUCAUCUUUUUCUUUCUUUGCUAAAGGUUAACUGUAAAAGUUUUAAGCCAGAAAAAGAAAAUAAAAAAUUAAAUGAAAAAAUUAAAUGAAAAUUAAAAAUUGAAAUUACUGUAGAUCAAUGAUGCAAAGCUAAGUAAUCCAGCUCUUUUUGUGACAACGCUAUAGAUGGAUUACUAAUACACCUGCCGUUUUGCCUGGCAAUGUUCUCCGCUUCAAUUAUUUCCCUUGUGAGCUGGUCUCGGCUCCUUGCCAACACCACACACUUGUCAAGUUCCGCUGUACACCCACAGUCCCGAAUGUGUAUGCCAACAUGUCCAGAGUUCUUGUUGAUGGUGGACAAGUUGUGU